CGCCACCCGGAAGCCCUCCUGGUAAAUGAGCGGAACCGCUAAGCAGAUGCUUCACAUUUAUACAGUGAAAUAUCCUUCUCAUUGUUAUAUUUGUGGUAUAGGCUUUAUUGGCAUUUAAAGCGCACUACUGAGUUUUUAUAUCACUAGUAAAUCCUAUUGCGAGUUUCAAGUGUGAUAAAACGGAUACGACGAGUUCGGCACACGCCUACUGUAUAUUGCCGCAUUCAAAACAACUGGGAACUCCGAAAAAUACGAGGUCAAUUCAUAACUUCAGUGAUUUUCAGGUCGGAAAUUCAGACCUCUAGAAAGAGGCCUGAAUCCCGAAUUGGAAUACCAAGUUGUGUGAUCGUUCAAAUCCAUUUUUCCCAGCCAGGAGCAAUUGUUUUCCAGAGUUCCCAGUUUUUUCGAAUACUCGGAUGUCGAACAUUUCCGAUUUCCCACUGGAACGCAGCAUAUCAUUUGGAAAACGAAACUAACAGGAAACGGCCAGGGCCCAUUUGAAGAGCGCCUCAUGGAAUCAGUGUUGCCAACUAUUUUUAUGUGAGAAUCGUUAUUGGCUCUUUGAUUUGAAGCUAGAUUAUGUUUAGUUUCGACAUCACACCACCAAUUUGGCUUGCUGCGGCACGACCGCUGGACGAAAAAGGUAUUCAAAUGUAUGCAAUCACUACUGUAACUCGCUCUGGAUAAAAGCGUCUGCUUCACAUAGGUGAAUUCACCAACACUGACCCGCAGAGAAGGACUAAACUGAUCAUUACUGUCAACCAGACAAGGACAACUGAAAUCCACAUAUUAAAACGUAGUCUGAAUAUUGGGACAGGAAUCACAAAAACAAUCACAAGUUCAUAACAAGUUUCAUCAGCUGUCCGGUAGUCUGGUCUCAGACGAUCC